GAUAAUGAAGUAAAAAAAUUACAAUUAGUUUCGACCUAAUAUUAGGAUAUAUUUUCCCUUAUCU
rnacentral:tRNA from 1 species